GAUGAAGAACGCAGCGAAAUGCGAUAAGUAGUGUGAAUUGCAGAAUUCAGUGAAUCAUCGAAUCUUUGAACGCACAUUGCGCCCUUUGGUAUUCCAAAGGGCAUGCCUGUUCGAGCGUCAUUUGUACCCUCAAGCUUUGCUUGGUGUUGGGCGUCUUGUCUCUAGCUUUGCUGGAGACUCGCCUUAAAGUAAUUGGCAGCCGGCCUACUGGUUUCGGAGCGCAGCACAAGUCGCACUCUCUAUCAGCAAAGGUCUAGCAUCCAUUAAGCCUUUUUUUUCAACUUUUGACCUCGGGUCAGGUAGGGAUACCCGCUGAACUUAAGCAUAUCAAUAAGCGGAGGA
rnacentral:misc_RNA from 1 species